rnacentral:rRNA from 1 species
UAGGGAAUCUUCGGCAAUGGGGGGAACCCUGACCGAGCAACGCCGCGUGAGUGAAGAAGGUUUUCGGAUCGUAAAGCUCUGUUGUUAAGGAAGAACGAGUGUGAGAAUGGAAAGUUCAUACUGUGACGGUACUUAACCAGAAAGGGACGGCUAACUACGUGCCAGCAGCCGCGGUAAUACGUAGGUCCCGAGCGUUGUCCGGAUUUAUUGGGCGUAAAGCGAGCGCAGGCGGUUAGAUAAGUCUGAAGUUAAAGGCAGUGGCUCAACCAUUGUAGGCUUUGGAAGCUGUUUAACUUGAGUGCAGAAGGGGAGAGUGGAAUUCCAUGUGUAGCGGUGAAAUGCGUAAAUAUAUGGAGGAACACCGGUGGCGAAAGCGGCUCUCUGGUCUGUAACUGACGCUGAGGCUCGAAAGCGUGGGGAGCGAACAGG